AAGCACUGCUUUUGAUAUGUCUUGUCUGUAGCUUCGUGGACCAUGCAACAGUGCUAGACUAUAAGGACUUACUAUAACUGGGGCUCUUCAACUUUCAACUGAACUGCUCUUUUUAAAAAAUAGCAUAA